UAAGGAAUAUUGCGCAAUGGGCGACAGCCUGACGCAGCGACGCCGCGUGGGGGAUGAAGGUCUUCGGAUUGUAAACCCCUUUCGGCAGGGAAGAUGGAACGGGUAACCGUUCGGACGGUACCUGCAGAAGCAGCCACGGCUAACUUCGUGCCAGCAGCCGCGGUAAUACGAAGGUGGCAAGCGUUGUUCGGAUUUACUGGGCGUACAGGGAGCGUAGGCGGUUGGGUAAGCCCUCCGUGAAAUCUCCGGGCCUAACCCGGAAAGUGCGGAGGGGACUGCUCGGCUAGAGGAUGGGAGAGGAGCGCGGAAUUCCCGGUGUAGCGGUGAAAUGCGUAGAGAUCGGGAGGAAGGCCGGUGGCGAAGGCGGCGCUCUGGAACAUUUCUGACGCUGAGGCUCGAA
rnacentral:rRNA from 1 species